rnacentral:rRNA from 1 species
AGAUUGGGAAAGACGGCGCAAGCUGUCACUUGCAGAUGGGCCUGCGGUGCAUUAGCUAGUUGGUGGGGUAACGGCUCACCAAGGCGACGAUGCAUAGCCGACCUGAGAGGGUGAUCGGCCACACUGGGACUGAGACACGGCCCAGACUCCUACGGGAGGCAGCAGUAGGGAAUCUUCCGCAAUGGACGAAAGUCUGACGGAGCAACGCCGCGUGAGUGAUGAAGGUUUUCGGAUCGUAAAGCUCUGUUGCCAGGGAAGAACAGCCAGGCGAGUAACUGCGCUUGGAGUGACGGUACCUGAGAAGAAAGCCCCGGCUAACUACGUGCCAGCAGCCGCGGUAAUACGUAGGGGGCAAGCGUUGUCCGGAAUUAUUGGGCGUAAAGCGCGCGCAGGCGGCUUUGUAAGUUUGGUGUUUAAUCUCAGAGCUCAACUCUGAUUCGCAUCGAAAACUGCAAGGCUUGAGUGCAGAAGAGGAAAGUGGAAUUCCACGUGUAGCGGUGAAAUGCGUAGAGAUGUGGAGGAACACCAGUGGCGAAGGCGACUUUCUGGGCUGUAACUGACGC